rnacentral:rRNA from 1 species
AUGCAGGCCUACUUUGCAAGCUGGGGACAAGAGGGCAUAGUUGAUCUUAAACAUGAACUCGAGCAGGUGCUCAUGUUUAUCUCAAGUCGGUGCCUACUCGGAUAUGAGGUUCGUGAGAUGAUGCUGGAAGAAGUUUCAUCAUUGUUUCAUGAACUUGAGAAUGGCUUAAACUUUUUUAGUUUCUUGUUCCCCUAUAUUCCAACCUCGACAAACCGCCGGCGCGACAAGGCGCACAUCAGGCUUAAAGAAAUAUUCACUACAACUAUCAGGUCACGCAGGAGCUCCGGCCGAGUUCAGGAGGAUGCACUGCAGAGGUUGAUGAAUUCCAAAUAUAAAGACGGUCGCUCUGCAUCCGAAGCCGAAAUUUGCGGCAUGAUCAUAGCACUCAUAUUUGCUGGAAAGCACCCAAGCUCCAGCACUAGUAUAUGGACUGGAGCUUUCAUGUUGAGCAACACCAAAUUCUUAAUAGCUGCCGUGGAGGAGCAAAAGCAUAUAAUUAGCAAGUACAAGAACCAAAUAGGCUAUGAUGCAUUUUUAGAGAUGGAUACCCUGCAUAGAUGCAUCAAGGAGGCACUUCGGAUGCAUACACCAGUGCAAAUGUUAGCUCGCAAGGCACAUAAGAAAUUCAAGGUGCAGACCAAGGAAGGCAAGGAAUAUGACAUACCUGAAGGGCAUAACAUUGUAAUCCCUACAACACUCAACAAUAAGCUGUCACAUGUUUACAAUGACCCUCAUGCGUACGAUCCAGAUCGGUUUGGUCCUGGAAGAGAGGAGGACAGAGUUGGCGGCAAGUACUCUUUCACAACAUUUGGUGGUGGAAGGCAUGUUUGUUCUGGCAUGGCCUUGGCUUACCUGCAAAUUAAGGUCAUAUGGAGCCAUCUAUUAAGAAACUUUGAGUUCAAGUUAAUAUCUCCAUUCCCUAAGGUGGAUGUGAGCAAGGAUUUGUUCAUGUGCAAAUAA